AAACAAAAUCAACCCCUCUAUUGAUUUCUUUGAGGUCCUCUUAAUAUUAGAAUCAGAUGUUUGGAUUUGGGGGAACAGAAAUAGCUACGUAUAAGCUGAGUCGUUCAUCCUUGGGGCAAGCUCUACUUGAUAGAUUUCUCGAACUGAAUAGUCGUGAGUCGAGAUGGUUAUCUUUAGCCUUACAGUAUUUUCACAUAUUUCUUUAUAAUUUUGGUCUUAACAUUUAUUACUUUAUGUGUUGAUAUACCUAUUAAUUUCAAUAUUUUCAAUUAUUUUUGCAGGUGGGAUUAAAAUCGUAAAGGAAGAAUCAAAGGAUCAGCCGCCUUCACACCCUAGAUUUGACAAAUAAGAAAUUACUGUUUUAACGGAGGAGAUGCAAACAAAGAUGGAGAAACUUCAAGAUGACAUGAAUAGCAUAAAGCAACAACAUGAAGUGUCAACUAUGUGUGCCAAU
rnacentral:lncRNA from 1 species